rnacentral:lncRNA from 1 species
AAUUGACAGCGUUUGAUUCUUUCCUGAAAACAAGUCAUAGGAAGACACAACAGUAAAAUCCCAGGGGUGUCCAAGGUUUAAUUCAGUCUCAGUUUGAGAAGUCUGCCUAAAAGCCCGUGCACCAGGAUGCUUGUGAUGACAUGAGCCCCCAUAAAAGUCUGUGAACGUUUCAGCUGAGGACAGUGCCUUGAAGGUAACUCUGCAGGACAGUGAGCAGCUGACGUCUGCAUGGCUCCGAUCACCACUCUGUCACGUCCACGGUUCCUUUAUGCCACGGUGACAGCAGUGCACAGCUCCCUUUUUUUUUUUUUUUUUUUUUUGGUAACAAAUCAGACCUAAAAAAAAAUCCAACAUGUGGUUCUUGUUUCCAGCCCCCACCCCUUAAAGCAGAUUUUUUGUUUUCAAUAAAACCCUCCCCUGGGUUUAAUACUAGCUAUUCAAGAGGCUGAAGUUAGAUGAAUCACAACCCGCUAGCAGCGCUGAAACCGAAGGCAAGGCAGGGCUUUUUGCAGAGCAUCCCCUGCACCGAGUACACGUCUGUAUCGUUACAG